CACGUAGGGUGCGAGCGUUGUCCGGAAUUAUUGGGCGUAAAGAGCUCGUAGGCGGUGUGUCGCGUCGGCCGUGAAAACCUGCAGCUUAACUGUGGGCUUGCGGUCGAUACGGGCAUCACUGGAGUUCGGCAGGGGAGACUGGAAUUCCAGGUGUAGCGGUGAAAUGCGUAGAUAUCUGGAGGAAUACCGGUGGCGAAGGCGGCAUCCUGGACCGACAUUGACGCUGAUGAGCGAAAGCUAGGGGAGCAAACGGG
rnacentral:rRNA from 1 species